CGGGGUGCACCAGGCGCGAAAACUUUACAAUGCACGAAAGUGUGAUAAGGGAAUCCUAAGUGCUCAUGCACAGCAUGGGCUUUUGCCAAGGGUAAAUACCUUGGAGAAUAAGUGGUGGGUAAGACUGGUGCCAGCAGCCGCGGUAACCCCAGCGCCACAAGUGGGAGCCACAAUUAUUUGGCCUAAAGCGUCCGUAGCUGGCUUUGUAAAUCUUUUGUGAAAUCGGAAAGCUUAACUUUUCGGCGUGCAGAAGACACUGCAAAGCUUGAGACCGGGAGGGGUAAGGAGUAUUUCUAGGGAACCGGUAAAAUGGGAUAAUCCUAGAAAGACUACCUGUGGCGAAGGCGCCUUACCAGCACGGCUCUGACAGUGAGGGACGAAGGCUAGGGGAGCGAACCGGAUUAGAUACCCGAGUAGUCCUAGCAGUAAACGCUGCGGGCUAGGUGUUGCACCAUCCAUGAGAUUGUGCAGUGUCGUAGCGAAGGCAUUAAGCCCGCCGCCUGGGAAGUAUGGUCGCAAGACUGAAACUUAAAGGAAUUGG
rnacentral:rRNA from 1 species